AGAGUUUGAUCCUGGCUCAGAACGAACGCUGGCGGCAGGCCUAACACAUGCAAGUCGAGCGCGCCUUCGGGUGAGCGGCGGACGGGUUAGUAACGCGUGGGAACGUGCCCUUCUCUACGGAAUAGCCUCUGGAAACGGAGAGUAAUACCGUAUACGCCCUUUGGGGGAAAGAUUUAUCGGAGAAGGAUCGGCCCGCGUUAGAUUAGGUAGUUGGUGGGGUAAUGGCCUACCAAGCCUACGAUCUAUAGCUGGUUUUAGAGGAUGAUCAGCAACACUGGGACUGAGACACGGCCCAGACUCCUACGGGAGGCAGCAGUGGGGAAUCUUAGACAAUGGGGGCAACCCUGAUCUAGCCAUGCCGCGUGAGUGAUGAAGGCCUUAGGGUCGUAAAGCUCUUUCGCCUGUGAUGAUAAUGACAGUAGCAGGUAAAGAAACCCCGGCUAACUCCGUGCCAGCAGCCGCGGUAAUACGGAGGGGGUUAGCGUUGUUCGGAAUUACUGGGCGUAAAGCGCGCGUAGGCGGAUUAGAAAGUUGGGGGUGAAAUCCCGGGGCUCAACCUCGGAACUGCCUCCAAAACUGCUAGUCUAGAGUUCGAGAGAGGUGAGUGGAAUUCCGAGUGUAGAGGUGAAAUUCGUAGAUAUUCGGAGGAACACCAGUGGCGAAGGCGGCUCACUGGCUCGAUACUGACGCUGAGGUGCGAAAGUGUGGGGAGCAAACAGGAUUAGAUACCCUGGUAGUCCACACCGUAAACGAUGAAUGCCAGUCGUCGGGUAGUAUACUAUUUCGGUGACACACCUAAACGGAUUAAGCAUUCCGCCUGGGGAGUACGGUCGCAAGAUUAAACUCAAAGGAAUUGACGG
rnacentral:rRNA from 1 species